rnacentral:rRNA from 1 species
AACUUUCAACAACGGAUCUCUUGGUUCUGGCAUCGAUGAAGAACGCAGCGAAAUGCGAUACGUAAUGUGAAUUGCAGAAUUCAGUGAAUCAUCGAAUCUUUGAACGCACAUUGCGCCCGCCAGUAUUCUGGCGGGCAUGCCUGUUCGAGCGUCAU